GUCAAGUCAUCAUGCCCCUUAUGUCCAGGGCUUCACGCAUGCUACAAUGGCCGGUACAGAGGGCUGCGAUGUCGUGAGGCGGAGCGAAUCUCUUAAAGCCGGUCUCAGUUCGGAUCGGGGUCUGCAACUCGACCCCGUGAAGUCGGAGUCGCUAGUAAUCGUGAAUCAGCGAUGUCACGGUGAAUACGUUCCCGGGUCUU
rnacentral:rRNA from 1 species